AUUGAACGCUGGCGGCAGGCCUAACACAUGCAAGUCGAGCGAGCGGCGGACGGGUGAGUAAUGUAUCGGAACGUGCCCCGUAGCGGGGGAUCACUACUCGAAAGAGUGGCUAAUACCGCAUACUUUUGGAGAGGCCGUAAGUGGAUUAGCGUGUUGGGGGGGUAAAGGGUCACCAAGGCAACGAUCCUCAGCGGGUUUGAGAGGAGGAACAGCCACACUGGGACUGAAACACGGCCCAGACUCCUACGGGAGGCAGCAGUGGGGAAUUUUGGACAAGGGGGGAAAACCUGAUCCAGCCAUCCCGCGUGUAUGAGAAGGCCUUCGGGUUGUAAAGUACUUUUGGCAGAGAAGCGGUAUCUGCAGAAUAAGCACCGGCUAACUACGUGCCAGCAGCCGCGGUAAUUC
rnacentral:rRNA from 1 species